CCUACGGGCGGCAGCAGUAGGGAAUAUUGCUCCAUGGGGGAAACCCUGAAGCAGCAACGCCGCGUGGAGGAUGAAGGUUUUCGGAUUGUAAACUCCUUUUGUUAGAGAAGAUAAUGACGGUAUCUAACGAAUAAGCACCGGCUAACUCCGUGCCAGCAGCCGCGGUAAUACGGAGGGUGCAAGCGUUACUCGGAAUCACUGGGCGUAAAGAGCGCGUAGGCGGGGUAGCAAGUCAGAUGUGAAAUCCUAGGGCUUAACCAUAGAACUGCAUUUGAAACUGUUAGUCUAGAGUAUGGGAGAGGUAGGUGGAAUUCUUGGUGUAGGGGUAAAAUCCGUAGAGAUCAAGAGGAAUACUCAUUGCGAAGGCGACCUGCUAGAACAUAACUGACGCUGAUGCGCGAAAGCGUGGGGAGCAAACAGGAUUAGAUACCCGGGUAGUC
rnacentral:rRNA from 1 species